AGCGGCAAAAGCUCAAAUUUGAAAUCCCCCCGGGGAGUUGUAAUUUGAAGAUUGCGUCUUGGAGGCGACCGUGUCUAUGUUCCUUGGAACAGGACGUCACAGAGGGUGAGAAUCCCGUGCGGCACGGCCCCCGGCUCCUUAUAAGGCGCUCUCGACGAGUCGAGUUGUUUGGGAAUGCAGCUCAAAGUGGGUGGUAAAUUCCAUCUAAAGCUAAAUACAGGCGAGAGACCGAUAGCGAACAAGUACAGUGAUGGAAAGAUGAAAAGCACUUUGAAAAGAGAGUGAAACAGCACGUGAAAUUGUUGAAAGGGAAGGGCAUGCCGUCAGAUUGUCAGUGUGGGUAAGAAGCGGGGUACAAAGACUGUGGAACGUGGCCCUCGGGUGUUAUAGCCGCAGUUCAUGCCCCGUCUCUUUCCGAGGCCUGCUUUGAGGACACCGACGUAAUGACGGUACGCCGCCCGUCUUGA
rnacentral:rRNA from 1 species